CGUGGCCCUGUCAUUCAUCUCCUUCACCAAAAGCUCUGUCAGGGACCUACAUGAAGAGUGCCAUCACUCAGAGAGACACUUUGACCUGUCCAGCUCUCUCAUCGGACUCAUAGACGGCAGCUUUGAGAUGGGUAACCUGCUGUUCCUGGCUGUGGUCAGCCAUUUUGGGGCGAAGCUGCACCAGCCCAGGCUCAUUGCUAUGGGCUGUUUCCACAUGGCUGUAGGAUCCUUCCUCACAGGCCUGCCACACUUCUUCAUGGGACGGUUGGACCCAGGUGCAGAGAAGAGACCAGAAGAUGAAGCAGUGGUUCCAACCAGUGUCUCCACCCCUCAAGGGCCCACUUAACUGCCAAGAGCUCCCGGUUGCCUACAUCGUAGUUGCCUUCCGCUGGCGAGAACCGCUUGGAGAGAAAGGCGCAUGGGUGCAGUUUCUUGUCCUCCUCGUUCCGCUGUGAAAGGACCGCCCCAGCUCCGGUGUCCGAGGCGUCCACCUCUACCACAAAGGGGCGAGUAGGAUCAGGAUGAACAAGGAUGGGUCUGAAGGUGAAACGUCCCUUGAGCUCUAUGAAUGCCCUGUCAGCCUCGGGAUUCCUGCAAAAACCUGCUUGAGUGAGGUGGGACAGGGCUGUAUGUGUUCCGGAAGGGUUUUUGGAGAAGAUCAGCAUGUUGUCGAGGUAAACAAAGACGAACCGAUUCAACAUAUCCCUAAGAGUGUCAUUGAUUGCCGGUGAGUUCGAUAUUCCGAAGGUCAUGACUAAAUACUCAGUGACCACUAGGGGUGCUAAAGGCAGUUUUCCAUUCAUCUCCCUCCCUGAUUCUCACCAGAUUUUAAGCGUUGCGGAGGUCCAGUUUGGUGAAGAAUUGGGCUCCUAGGGCGGCGGAGAUCGGGUAGGGGGUAACAAUUCUUGAUUGUAAUCCUUUUCAGCCUUCUGUAAUCGAUGCAAGGACUGAAGUUUGGAUCAGAGACAGAGAGACAAGGGAUGCGUUUAGACUGGCAGCCCAAUUAUGAUAUUUUUUCCGCUAAUAGGUCUUUUGACCAAUCACAUUAGAUAUUUUUGCAUCAGCUGUUUUUCAGAGCAUAUCUGAUUGUUCAAAAUACAAAUUACUCAAAAAAUGACUGAGUUGGUCUGCCUGUCUCAACGAAGCCAUAGAAUCCUGGACAUGCUCCAACUGAAAUUUUCCAUCCUGUCAGUAUUGAUGUUGAAUGGCAUUAAAUACACAUUUUUUGUUCUCUCCCAUCCCCUGUAGGUUUGUUGAACAUGAGUGGAAAUGAAACUCCGGCACACUGGUAGCACUAUAGAUGUGUGAGUAUAACUUUUCCAGGUGAGUUGAACCUGCCGGUGGGUGCGGUGGGGAUAUUCCUGGGAGGUCUACUGAUGAAGAGGUAUAAGCUUGGCGUUGUGUCUGGAGCCCAGCUGUCUUUCGUCACCUCCUUCAUGGCCUAGCUCCUCCUCCCUCUGCAGUCUGGCACUAAGUGUGACAACGUUCAGGUGGCUGGUCUGACCGUGUCCUACAACAGGUCCCCUGGUGUACGAUGGCAGCCUGUUGUCGGAGUGUAACAGACUGCUCCUGCUUGGCUGGGGAGUGGGACCCUGUGUGUUCAGACAACGGCAUCACCUACACCUCCCCCUUCCUCGUAGGCUGCUCCAGCUUUACAGGUUACGGCAAGAACACGGUACCAAUACUAUUAAUGUACUGAGUGUACAAAACAUUCACAGGGAUUCUGGCCCAUGUUGACUCCAAUG